CACGUAGGGGACGAGCGUUGUCCGGAAUUAUUGGGCGUAAAGGGCUCGUAGGCGGUCUGUCGCGUCGGGAGUGAAAAACUCAGGGCUCAACCCUGAGCGUGCUUCCGAUACGGGCAGACUAGAGGUAUGCAGGGGAGAACGGAAUUCCUGGUGUAGCGGUGGAAUGCGCAGAUAUCAGGAGGAACACCGGUGGCGAAGGCGGUUCUCUGGGCAUGACCUGACGCUGAGGAGCGAAAGCAUGGGGAGCGAACAGG
rnacentral:rRNA from 1 species